rnacentral:tRNA from 1 species
GGGGUGUAGCUCAGUGGUAGAGCGUUCGCUUUGCAUGUGAAAGGCCCUGGGUUCGAUCUCCAGAGCAAACGCUUCG